rnacentral:rRNA from 1 species
AAUCAACGCUGGCGGCGUGCCUAACACAUGCAAGUCGCGCGCGAAAGGGGGGCAACUCCCAAGUAGAGCGGCGAACGGGUGAGUAACACGUGGGUAAUCUACCUUCGAGUGGGGAACAACACCGGGAAACUGGUGCUAAUUCCGCAUAACAUCGUCGGGGCUUCGGUUCUGACGCUCAAAGCUGGGGAUCGCAAGACCUAGCGCUUGAAGAUGAGCCCGCGUCCGAUUAGCUAGUUGGCGGGGUAAUGGCCCACCAAGGCUUCGAUCGGUAGCCGGCCUGAGAGGGCGGACGGCCACACUGGAACUGAGACACGGUCCAGACUCCUACGGGAGGCAGCAGUGGGGAAUCUUGCGCAAUGGCCGCAAGGCUGACGCAGCGACGCCGCGUGUGGGAUGACGG